rnacentral:tRNA from 1 species
GAUUAAGUGGCUCAGUGGUUAAGAGCACUGGCUGCUCUUCCAGAGGUCCUGAGUUCAAUUCCCAGCAACCA